AGACCUCGGUUUCUUUGCCCUGUGAACUCCUCAUAAAUUUAUUAUUUCCUCGCCUAAAAAGUGUGAAAGGGAGCUCCCUGGUGGCUCAGUGGGUUGAGGAUCCAGUGCUGUCACUGCUGUGGUGUGGGUUUGAUCCCUGGCUCAGGAACUUCAUAUGCCCUGGAUGCAGCCAAAAAAAAAAAGAAAAAAAAAAAAGAAAAUUAAGAUAUCUCGGAGUUCCCUGGUGGCUCAGAGCAUUGAGGACACAGUGUUGUCACUGCUGUGUCUCUGAUUACUGCUGUGGCACAGGAUUGACCCCUGGCCCAGAAACUUCUAUAUGCCACAGGAGUGGCCAGGAAAAAAAUUACAUUAUAUAACUCGCAAUGGAAGGAAUCAUAUUAAAAACAGAGGCAAUACAUUCUCAAAACCGAUCUCAGAAAAGCAGACUGGUAUUUGCUGUGGGGGAGGGAGUGGGAUGGACUGGGAGUUUGGGGUUAAUAGAUACAAACUAUUCUAUUACAUUUAGAAUAGAUAAGCAAUGAGGUCCUGCUAUACAGCACAGGGAACUAUAGCCAAUCACUUGUGACAGAACAUGAGAGAAGAUAAUAUGAGAAAAAGAAUGUAUUUCUAGGUAUGAUGGGGUCACUUUGCUGUACAGCAGAAAUGGACAGAACAUUGUAAAUCAACUCUAAUAAGAAAAUUAAAAAAAAAAAACCUAUCUCAAAAAAAAAGGAGGUGUAAAGUUUAAAUGUUUUCAUUUGCAGCUCCUGGUUCUGUGUGAGGCCUGAGGACUUCCAUAUAUGAGAACUCAGCACAUCCAGAGGCUCUCUGGGGCCACCUGCAGCCAGUUCAUUCUCCUGGAGAGAAAGACCCAAACCUACAGCCUUCGUGCCACAUGCUCUGCUCUGGGAUCUGGUGACACGAAGAUCCAUCACCACCUCCACCUGCAAGGGGCGUCGCAGCUCAGCAGGCAGCCCUGGUGCCCCCGGCCCUCCUGCAGGGCUCAGGGAAGACUACAGCCGGAGAGCCCACUGCUCAGUUCGCGCUGGGGAACUGCUCCGAAGAGGUAGGGCAGAGGCCAGUUUAUAUAUGAUUUGGGGCGGGGGGGGGGGGGCUAGGAAAUACAUACAGUCAAGCGUACAUCUUGGUCAAAGAUUACUGCUAAUCGCAAAGAACAGACAUCUCAAGUUAAUGACUUUAGGGCUUUUCUGUGGAUGACAAGAGGCCGGAAUCUGGGGUCCCUGGAAUUCUUCCAAGAGAUGCAUCUAACUAACUAUCCAGGGGCCCCGUUGCGCAAAGCCCAGGUGGCUCUGGCUUUCCAUUAGGAACACCUUUCAGGGGCACUGUCUGGGGCCACUGC
rnacentral:lncRNA from 1 species